rnacentral:miRNA from 1 species
CCUGGAACUCGCUAUGUAGACCAGGCUGGCCUCAAAUUCACAGGGAUCUGCCUGUCUCUGCCUCCCAAGUGCUGGUAU